rnacentral:lncRNA from 1 species
AAACAGAGCAAAAGGAUUGCUCUCACCAGAAAUGAAACCAUAGUCUGCAUUUAUAUAAAUAAUGUGGGCCUGCGUACAUCAGAGACUGGAGGAAAAAAAAUAAAACAAGUAAGGAUAGAGCAAGGGAGGGAGAAACAAUGAAAGAGGGGGGCAGGGGAUGUGACUCAGUGGUGGAGAACUUGCCUAGCAUGCACAAGGCUGGGGUUGGAUCCCUAGCUCUGGAGGGUCAUGGGAAGGAUACAAUAUAAUCAAAGUUUAUUGUUAGGGGAACAUCCAGAGUUUGAUUCGCACUCAAGAUGGAGGACUGUCUCCUGAGACCAGAUCGUCCUUACACGUCUACCUUUCCAAGGCAGGGAAAGAAGAUGCAUCCUCGUCCGGCUCCUGCGCCUUCCUAGUACCUCUGGCCAGCAUCCUAUGGGCCCGCGCUCCCUGGACAUCCAUGAAUGUUUGAUGCUACAUCUCUACCCCAGCCGAAGCUUCCCGCCUGCACUCUGUCAACGGCACUUGCGGGGCGGGG